CCUACGGGAGGCAGCAGUGGGGAAUAUUGGACAAUGGGCGAAAGCCUGAUCCAGCCAUGCCGCGUGUGUGAAGAAGGCCUUCGGGUUGUAAAGCACUUUCAGUGGGGAAGAAAGCCUUGGGGCUAAUACCCUCGAGGAAGGACAUCACCCACAGAAGAAGCACCGGCUAAACUCCGUGCCAGCAGCCGCGGUAAUACGGAGGGUGCGAGCGUUAAUCGGAAUUACUGGGCGUAAAGCGCGCGUAGGCGGUCUGAUAAGCCGGUUGUGAAAGCCCCGGGCUCAACCUGGGAACGGCAUCCGGAACUGUCAGGCUAGAGUGCAGGAGAGGAAGGUAGAAUUCCCGGUGUAGCGGUGAAAUGCGUAGAGAUCGGGAGGAAUACCAGUGGCGAAGGCGGCCUUCUGGACUGACACUGACGCUGAGGUGCGAAAGCGUGGGUAGCAAACAGGAUUAGAUACCCUGGUAGUC
rnacentral:rRNA from 1 species